GACGAACGCUGGCGGCGUGCUUAACACAUGCAAGUCGAACGGAAAGGCCCUGCUUUUGUGGGGUGCUCGAGUGGCGAACGGGUGAGUAACACGUGAGUAACCUGCCCUUGACUUUGGGAUAACUUCAGGAAACUGGGGCUAAUACCUGAUAGGACCUCCUGCUGCAUGGUGGGGGUUGGAAAGUUUCGGCGGUUGGGGAUUGACUCGCGGCUUAUCAGCGUGUUGGUGGGGUAGUGGCUUACCAAGGCUUUGACGGGUAGCCGGCCUGAGAGGGUGACCGGCCACAUUGGGACUGAGAUACGGCCCAGACUCCUACGGGAGGCAGCAGUGGGGAAUAUUGCACAAUGGGCGGAAGCCUGAUGCAGCAACGCCGCGUGCGGGAUGACGGCCUUCGGGUUGUAAACCGCUUUCGCCUGUGACGAAGCGUGAGUGACGGUAAUGGGUAAAGAAGCACCGGCUAACUACGUG
rnacentral:rRNA from 1 species